rnacentral:rRNA from 1 species
GAGUAACCUGCCCUUAACUCUGGGAUAAGCCUGGGAAACUGGGUCUAAUACCGGAUAUGACUCCUCAUCGCAUGGUGGGGGGUGGAAAGCUUUUUGUGGUUUUGGAUGGACUCGCGGCCUAUCAGCUUGUUGGUGAGGUAAUGGCUCACCAAGGCGACGACGGGUAGCCGGCCUGAGAGGGUGACCGGCCACACUGGGACUGAGACACGGCCCAGACUCCUACGGGAGGCAGCAGUGGGGAAUAUUGCACAAUGGGCGCAAGCCUGAUGCAGCGACGCCGCGUGAGGGAUGACGGCCUUCGGGUUGUAAACCUCUUUCAGUAGGGAAGAAGCGAAAGUGACGGUACCUGCAGAAGAAGCGCCGGCUAACUACGUGCCAGCAGCCGCGGUAAUACGUAGGGCGCAAGCGUUAUCCGGAAUUAUUGGGCGUAAAGAGCUCGUAGGCGGUUUGUCGCGUCUGCCGUGAAAGUCCGGGGCUCAACUCCGGAUCUGCGGUGGGUACGGGCAGACUAGAGUGAUGUAGGGGAGACUGGAAUUCCUGGUGUAGCGGUGAAAUGCGCAGAUAUCAGGAGGAACACCGAUGGCGAAGGCAGGUCUCUGGGCAUUAACUGACGCUGAGGAGCGAAAGCAUGGGGAGCGAACAGGAUUAGAUACCCUGGUAGUCCAUGCCGUAAACGUUGGGCACUAGGUGUGGGGGACAUUCCACGUUUUCCGCGCCGUAGCUAACGCAUUAAGUGCCCCGCCUGGGGAGUACGGCCGCAAGGCUAAAACUCAAAGGAAUUGACGGGGGCCCGCACAAGCGGCGGAGCAUGCGGAUUAAUUCGAUGCAACGCGAAGAACCUUACCAAGGCUUGACAUGGACCGGACCGGGCUGGAAACAGUCCUUCCCCUUUGGGGCCGGUUCACAGGUGGUGCAUGGUUGUCGUCAGCUCGUGUCGUGAGAUGUUGGGUUAAGUCCCGCAACGAGCGCAACCCUCGUUCCAUGUUGCCAGCGCGUAAUGGCGGGGACUCAUGGGAGACUGCCGGGGUCAACUCGGAGGAAGGUGGGGACGACGUCAAAUCAUCAUGCCCCUUAUGUCUUGGGCUUCACGCAUGCUACAAUGGCCGGUACAAAGGGUUGCGAUACUGUGAGGUGGAGCUAAUCCCAAAAAGCCGGUCUCAGUUCGGAUUGGGGUCUGCAACUCGACCCCAUGAAGUCGGAGUCGCUAGUAAUCGCAGAUCAGCAACGCUGCGGAUUGCUC